rnacentral:tRNA from 1 species
GGAGAGGUGGCCGAGCGGUCUAAGGCAACAGCCUGCUAAGCUGUGGCGGGUUAAAGCCUGCCUCGCGGGUUCAAAUCCCGCCCUCUCCGCCA